rnacentral:snRNA from 1 species
AUUGUCGUUGCCAUCUCUCCACCUCGGCUGUGGCAGUGGUGACGAGACGAGACGAGACGAGACGAGACGAGGCGAGUUAGGGGGAGGUACUACUGAAGUGGAGAAGUAGGUGGGAGUAGAGUGCAGGUGGGGUAGUGAGAUGGUGGAGAGGAGAGGGAGGUGGUGAUGAGUGGCGUGUGAGGAGUAGGGUGCGUGGGCGUAGGAAAGCAGAAGAGACGUGGUGGUGUGAGGCGAUGUGUGGUGAUGGAGACG